rnacentral:rRNA from 1 species
GAUGAACGCUGGCGGCGUGCCUAAUACAUGCAAGUCGAGCGAACGGACGAGAAGCUUGCUUCUCUGAUGUUAGCGGCGGACGGGUGAGUAACACGUGGAUAACCUACCUAUAAGACUGGGAUAACUUCGGGAAACCGGAGCUAAUACCGGAUAAUAUUUUGAACCGCAUGGUUCAAAAGUGAAAGACGGUCCUGCUGUCACUUAUAGAUGGAUCCGCGCUGCAUUAGCUAGUUGGUAAGGUAACGGCUUACCAAGGCAACGAUGCAUAGCCGACCUGAGAGGGUGAUCGGCCACACUGGAACUGAGACACGGUCCAGACUCCUACGGGAGGCAGCAGUAGGGAAUCUUCCGCAAUGGGCGAAAGCCUGGCGGAGCAACGCCGCGUGAGUGAUGAAGGUCUUCGGAUCGUAAAACUCUGUUAUUAGGGAAGAACAUAUGUGUAAGUAACUGUGCACAUCUUGACGGUACCUAAUCAGAAAGCCACGGCUAACUACGU